rnacentral:lncRNA from 1 species
AUUAGAAUAAAACUAACAAAUAAGAAAAACUCACAGAUAGACUUACUAACUGGCAAUGCAGAUAUCAAAACUGAAGAAGAAGCAAGUAGUCACAGAAUCUAAGGGAAAAAUGCAUGUGAGGAAAGCCAAGGACAAUUCAUUGCUACUUGAAGUGUACACUGCAUCAUCAUCAUGCGCAUUCUGCUGUGAAUCAGGUCACUUCUCAGAGACACCAAUAAGCCAUGUCUUCUGCAUCUCCAAGAAGUCCAUCUCUACUUGGACUUUAGGUCCUAUGUCUUCCUAUCACUCCACAGUGCACAAUGAGAGAGAAGAGUGUCAUGAAGCAGUAGAGACUGAUACAACACAGAAAAUCAGUUUUCAGGAAGAGAGAUGGAGAGGCCAGUAACUAAGCCUGAGUACGAGCUCUAAGCCAGCGGUCAUGGCAUAGUUUGUUUACUCACCUUGCAGUGGAGCUCUGUGAACAAACUCAAGCACAGCUAUGAACAGGCAAAAUGCUCUGGGCAUCCCCUACUAAUUCCAUUAAUUGAAUCUUGGACAUUUCAAGCAUAUAUGAGUUUUGAGAUUUUCAUUCUAUGGAGUUACCUUACUAAAUU